CGCGGCGCAGCUGGGCGGCCCUCUGGCCGGGGCGGGACGGGGGCGGACGCCGUCGGAGCUGCGGGCGGGCGGCGGCCGGAGCUGGAGCAGUGGACGCAGCGGCGAACUCACCUGCUGGAUGGAAAUCAGGGCAGGGGUCAGUGAAGCUGAAGAUUAGAGGUCAAGACGCGGCCAAGGGUUAGGCGUGGUAGGUUCGGGGCCAGUCCACGGGCAGAAGGGCCAGGGG
rnacentral:lncRNA from 1 species